UGGCCGCAGUGAGCACCCUUUGCAUUUUGUUGAGUGGGCCAAGGAUAAGCCUGGUCCCUGGCAGGGUGCAGGAUUCUGUCCUGAGAUAGCUCCCCUCCUUUUCCCCCCAUCUUCCAGCCCAAGGAGCCUUUCUGUCCUGGAGGCAGGAAACAUUAUCUCCUUCUGAC
rnacentral:lncRNA from 1 species